AUGCACUGCACUAUUGUUUCGGAUGCCUCUGCAAUGCCUUGCAUAUCCUGGAGAAAAAAAAAAAAUUGGGAUGCACACAGAUGGAUAAAGAAACUGAGACUUGGAGAAAUUAAUUGAUCUGGUAAUGUGCACAAAGCUUGCAAGUGACAGAAACCAGAUUUGAAUCCAGGACUUUGUGAUUCCAAGGCUAGCAAACUGACCCUGCAAACCAAGUGAGUUUCUCUUCAACCUGAAAAUGUGUAUACUCGAAAUGGAUGCUUAAUCAGUCGGUUGACUGAAUACAGCAUUUGAAGUAUUAUUUACCACAGCAUGUAUUUUACUGUAUAAUGAUCUGGCAUUUGGAUUAUUGUUAUUAUUAUGUUUGCAUAUUCUGUAUAUAACAUGAUAAAUGAGGUUUUCUCCUUUCACUUCACUCCUGCCCUGUAAAAUCUCCACAUUCCCAGAUUGGGGGACCACUUCCAUUAUGAACCCAUUCCUAAUGGCUCCACCCGUUACUUAUCUCUCCCUCCUGUAAUUACUGUCUAUUACUUUGCCUCUACUUUGCACUGUAUCUGCCUACAUGCUAUGUCUCCCCCCGUAGAAUAGAAGCAGCUUGAGGACUGCAACUAUUCCUUUUUGUCUUGUCCCAAAAUCCUGUAUUCACAUCUUUUCUGUCACUUGCAGGCUUUGUGCUCAUGACCAAGUCAUUUAACUUCUUCAAGACCUCAGCGUACAUCAUUAACACUUCACAAAACGUUUGUUGAAUUUAAUUGAGCUGUCUUAUAAAAUAAAACUUUAAUAUUUGACUUUUGAGUUAGAGAA